AAAGAUAGAGGUGCAUGAAUCAUCAGUAUUUAAUGAUAAUGGUUGGUGACAGUUAUUAAAGAAAGGGAAACAUGCCGAAGGAAAUAGAAACACCAAUUUCUAUUUACCUGGGAGAUAAUAAAAGAUAUUAUUUCUUGUCACAUAUGUGGAGAGCUAUCA
rnacentral:ncRNA from 1 species